rnacentral:rRNA from 1 species
CUCCGUAAUGUUUCUCCCCUCCGCUUUAAUGGGUUGACGUUAAUCCGGGGGGUUUUCCCCCCUCCCUCCGGUGACCAAACCUAAAAAGAGGGGGUGUUUGGCGAGGAGUGUUCCUGACCCCUCCCCCGAUACUCCACUACUUACGAGGGCCUCCUUCAUCUGGUGCAGGCACACCACCCAACCGAGCACGAGGGGUUAAAUGGCGCUCGGACUGGCGGACCAGCGCAGAGAAUGGCGAGAAGUAAUGUGAAUUCCAGAAUUCAGUGAUUCAUUGAAUUUUGCAACGCACAUUGCGCCCGCCAGCAUUCUGGCGGGCAUGCCUGUUCGAGCGUCAUUUCAACCCUCAAGCUCUGCUUGGUGUUGGGGCCCUACAGCUGAUGUAGGCCCUCAAAGGUAGUGGCGGACCCUCCCGGAGCCUCCUUUGCGUAGUAACUUUACGUCUCGCACUGGGAUCCGGAGGGACUCUCGAUAAAACCCCCAAUUCUCCAAAGGUGCCGCUCGGAUCAGGUAUGAAUAGCCGCUGAAGUUA